AUGAACGCUGGCGGUAUGCUUCACACAUGCAAGUCGAACGGACUCUUCGGAGUUAGUGGCGGACGGGUGAGUAACGCGUGAGAAUCUGGCUUUGGGUUCGGGACAACCACUGGAAACGGUGGCUAAUACCGGAUGUGCCGAGAGGUAAAAGAGAAAUUGCCUGAAGAUGAGCUCGCGUCUGAUUAGCUAGUUGGUGAGGUAAAGGCUCACCAAGGCAGCGAUCAGUAGCUGGUCUGAGAGGAUGACCAGCCACACUGGGACUGAGACACGGCCCAGACUCCUACGGGAGGCAGCAGUGGGGAAUUUUCCGCAAUGGGCGAAAGCCUGACGGAGCAAUACCGCGUGAGGGAAGAAGGCUCUUGGGUUGUAAACCUCUUUUCUUAGGGAAGAACAAAAUGACGGUACCCAAGGAAUCAGCAUCGGCUAACUCCGUG
rnacentral:rRNA from 1 species